UUCAGGAAAACAUGUUGUUUUCAGAACUAUAUAAAGUAGAAAAGGUCCAAACUGGACCACUUGAAGGGUUUUCACAGGUCACAGCACAAAUACAGAUUAUUAGCUUAUGUAUGUAUGUAUGUAAAUAAUAUUCUGGAAUAUUACAUUAUGUUCCUUUAGAAACAGGAUGUUUUGGUCCUUCAGUAAGAGCUAAUUCUAAAAUUGUACUUUUAAAAUAUAAUUAUUUAUUAUUAGAUCUUGGCAAGGCGUGGAUGUGACUUUGUGGUGCAGCACACUCCAGACCUGCACAGAGAGCUGAGGGGAAUGUCUACACAUGAUGCUUCUCUGCUCUUUAUCGAGGAGGCCUGUAGCCUGAGCGAUGUGCCUCUCACGUUCUACAGCAUGAGCAAGGCUUUGAAGAAGGGAUGCUGGCAACACAGCGCACCACUAAAGCAUUCCGCGAGAGAAUACCAGUGCACUCAUAUUUCAUGCAGAUGCAGGUUCCAUUGCAGAUGUUGAGAGGACCCUCACAUUCCCUGCAGGUCAACAAAGCAAUGUAAUCUAUUAAAUAAUAUAUUUCAGCUAAAUUAAGUGAUAAGAUACACUUUCAUCUUUUUAUGUGCAAAAUAUCUCAUGUACCUGGACAUGUCACUCAUUCACUCACUCACAAACACUCAGUCAUUCAAACUCACACUUACUCAUUUGCACUCAAACUCACUCACCUACUCACCUUCACUUACAGGUGCAUCUCAAAAAUGAGAAUAUCAUGGAAAAGUACAUUUUCCCCCAUAAUUUAAUUCAAAAAGUGGAACUUUUAUAUAUUCUAGAUUCAUUACACAUAAAGAGAAAAUUUUCAAGCCUUUUUUUUUUGUUGUUUUAAUCGAUGAUUACAGCUUACACAUGGAAAUAAAAAUCCAGUAUCUCAAAAUAUUAGAAUAAAGAAUUUAUAAUAUAGAAAUUUCGACCUUCGGAAAGUAUGUUCAUUUAUGCACUCAAUACUUGGUCCUUUUUCACAAGCAGCAAAAGUGGUGCUAAUGCAAUCAGGAACUUUCAACUGUAUGAGUGUCUGAUGUCUUUCUGCUUCUGCAUUUCUUUUCCUUACUUCUCUCUCUAGAAAUCUCUGUGACAAAAGCUGCCCAAUGAAUCUCCUUGCGUUGAAACAAUAUAGACACACGUCCAAUUCCUGGUUGAUUCGUAACAUUUCCAGUUGACUGGAAGUUCUUAAUUAUUGCCCUAUUGUGGAAAUACACAUUUUCAAUUCUUGUUCGGUUUUCUUACAGCCACUUCUCAUUUUGUGACACGCGACAACCUUUUGUCGCACAUCACAGGUAUAUUCCUUGAUCUUACCCAUUGUUAUGAAUGAUCAAGGGAAUCUGGCCUAUGUGCUAUUUCAUAUCACCCCUCUGAAACAGGAAGUCAUGGUUGAACAAUUUCCUGUUCUUAGUCACCAAGAUGUACUAAAAGAAAAUAAAAUAUCAAAGUGAAUCCUUGUACACCUAUAUGUAACAAAUAAAUAAAUAAAUAAAUAAAUAAAUAAAUAAAUAAAUAUAUAUAAUAAACCUGUGUUUUGUUUG